GACGAACGCUGGCGGCGUGCUUAACACAUGCAAGUCGAACGGAAAGGCCCUGCUUUUGUGGGGUGCUCGAGUGGCGAACGGGUGAGUAACACGUGAGUAACCUGCCCUUGACUUUGGGAUAACUUCAGGAAACUGGGGCUAAUACCGGAUAGGAGCUCCUGCUGCAUGGUGGGGGUUGGAAAGUUUCGGCGGUUGGGGAUGGACUCGCGGCUUAUCAGCUUGUUGGUGGGGUAGUGGCUUACCAAGGAUUUGACGGGUAGCCGGCCUGGGAGGGUGACCGGCCUCAUUGGGACUGAGAUGCGGCCCAGACUCCUACGGGAGGCAGCAGUGGGAAUAUUGCACAAUGGGCGGAAGCCUGAUGCAGCAACGCCGCGUGCGGGAUGACGGCCUUCGGGUUGUAAACCGCUUUCGCCUGUGACGAAGCGUGAGUGACGGUAAUGGGUAAAGAAGCACCGGCUAACUACGUG
rnacentral:rRNA from 1 species